rfam:Salmo salar isolate Sally breed double haploid chromosome ssa17, whole genome shotgun sequence.
UGAUUAAUGUACUGUAAGUCUCUCUGGAUAAGAGCGUCUGCUAAAUGACUCAAA